AGAGUUUGAUCCUGGCUCAGGAUGAACGCUAGCUACAGGCUUAACACAUGCAAGUCGAGGGGAAACGACAUCGAAAGCUUGCUUUUGAUGGGCGUCGACCGGCGCACGGGUGAGUAACGCGUAUCCAACCUGCCCACCACUUGGGGAUAACCUUGCGAAAGUAAGACUAAUACCCAAUGACGUACUCUAGAAGACAUCUGAAAGAGAUUAAAGAUUUAUCGGUGAUGGAUGGGGAUGCGUCUGAUUAGCUUGUUGGCGGGGUAACGGCCACCAAGGCGACGAUCAGUAGGGGUUCUGAGAGGAAGGUCCCCACAUUGGAACUGAGACAACGGUCCAAACGUCCUACGGGAGGCA
rnacentral:rRNA from 1 species